CUUCGGGAUAAGCCUGGGAAACUGGGUCUAAUACCGGAUAGGACCUCAAGACGCAUGUCUUCUGGUGGAAAGCUUUUGCGGUGUGGGAUGGGCCCGCGGCCUAUCAGCUUGUUGGUGGGGUGACGGCCUACCAAGGCGACGACGGGUAGCCGGCCUGAGAGGGUGUCCGGCCACACUGGGACUGAGAUACGGCCCAGACUCCUACGGGAGGCAGCAGUGGGGAAUAUUGCACAAUGGGCGCAAGCCUGAUGCAGCGACGCCGCGUGGGGGAUGACGGCCUUCGGGUUGUAAACCUCUUUCACCAUCGACGAAGGUCCGGGUUUUCUCGGAUUGACGGUAGGUGGAGAAGAAGCACCGGCCAACUACGUGCCAGCAGCCGCGGUAAUACGUAGGGUGCGAGCGUUGUCCGGAAUUACUGGGCGUAAAGAGCUCGUAGGUGGUUUGUCGCGUUGUUCGUGAAAUCUCACGGCUUAACUGUGAGCGUGCGGGCGAUACGGGCAGACUAGAGUACUGCAGGGGAGACUGGAAUUCCUGGUGUAGCGGUGGAAUGCGCAGAUAUCAGGAGGAACACCGGUGGCGAAGGCGGGUCUCUGGGCAGUAACUGACGCUGAGGAGCGAAAGCGUGGGGAGCGAACAGGAUUAGAUACCCUGGUAGUCCACGCCGUAAACGGUGGGUACUAGGUGUGGGUUUCCUUCCUUGGGAUCCGUGCCGUAGCUAACGCAUUAAGUACCCCGCCUGGGGAGUACGGCCGCAAGGCUAAAACUCAAAGGAAUUGACGGGGGCCCGCACAAGCGGCGGAGCAUGUGGAUUAAUUCGAUGCAACGCGAAGAACCUUACCUGGGUUUGACAUGCACAGGACGCGUCUAGAGAUAGCGUCCCU
rnacentral:rRNA from 1 species